UCCCGCUUAGCUCAGUUGGCAGAGCGCGUCACUAGUAAUGACGAGGUCAGUCGUUCGAGUCGGCUAGUGGGAA
rnacentral:tRNA from 1 species